GAAUUCGCCCUUAGAGUUUGAUCCUGGCUCAGGACGAACGCUGGCGGCGUGCUUAACACAUGCAAGUCGAACGGAGCGCUAUGGAUAGAGGUUUCGGCCAAUUGAAAUAGUUGCUUAGUGGCGGACUGGUGAGUAACGCGUGAGGAACCUGCCUUUCAGAGGGGGACAACAGUUGGAAACGACUGCUAAUACCGCAUGACACAUGACCGGGGCAUCCCGGACAUGUCAAAGAUUUUAUCGCUGAAAGAUGGCCUCGCGUCCGAUUAGAUAGUAGGCGGGGUAACGGCCCACCUAGUCGACGAUCGGUAGCCGGACUGAGAGGUUGACCGGCCACAUUGGGACUGAGAUACGGCCCAGACUCCUACGGGAGGCAGCAGUGGGGAAUAUUGGGCAAUGGACGCAAGUCUGACCCAGCAACGCCGCGUGAAGGAAGAAGGCUUUCGGGUUGUAAACUUCUUUUAAGGGGGAAGAGAAGAAGACGGUACCCCUUGAAUAAGCCACGGCUAACUACGUGCCAGCAGCCGCGGUAAUACGUAGGUGGCAAGCGUUGUCCGGAUUUACUGGGUGUAAAGGGCGUGCAGCCGGGCCCUUAAGUCAGAUGUGAAAUCCCCAGGCUCAACCUGGGAACUGCAUUUGAAACUGAGGGUCUUGAGUAUCGGAGAGGUAAUCGGAAUUCCUAGUGUAGCGGUGAAAUGCGUAGAUAUUAGGAAGAACACCAGUGGCGAAGGCGGAUUACUGGACGACAACUGACGGUGAGGCGCGAAAGCGUGGGGAGCAAACAAGAUUAGAUACCCUGGUAGUCCACGCUGUAAACGACCUAAAGGGGGUGUGCGGGGGACUGACCCC
rnacentral:rRNA from 1 species